UGGAUUAGUGGCGAACGGGUGAGUAACACGUGGGCAAUCUGCCCUUCACUCUGGGACAAGCCCUGGAAACGGGGUCUAAUACCGGAUAACACUCCUGCCUGCAUGGGUGGGGGUUAAAAGCUCCGGCGGUGAAGGAUGAGCCCGCGGCCUAUCAGCUUGUUGGUGAGGUAGUGGCUCACCAAGGCGACGACGGGUAGCCGGCCUGAGAGGGCGACCGGCCACACUGGGACUGAGACACGGCCCAGACUCCUACGGGAGGCAGCAGUGGGGAAUAUUGCACAAUGGGCGAAAGCCUGAUGCAGCGACGCCGCGUGAGGGAUGACGGCCUUCGGGUUGUAAACCUCUUUCAGCAGGGAAGAAGCGAAAGUGACGGUACCUGCAGAAGAAGCGCCGGCUAACUACGUGCCAGCAGCCGCGGUAAUACGUAGGGCGCAAGCGUUGUCCGGAAUUAUUGGGCGUAAAGAGCUCGUAGGCGGCUUGUCACGUCGGUUGUGAAAGCCCGGGGCUUAACCCCGGGUCUGCAGUCGAUACGGGCAGGCUAGAGUGUGGUAGGGGAGAUCGGAAUUCCUGGUGUAGCGGUGAAAUGCGCAGAUAUCA
rnacentral:rRNA from 2 species